rnacentral:rRNA from 1 species
CAAACAGGAUUAGAUACCUGGUAGUCACGCUGUAAACGAUGUCGAUUUGGAGUUUGUUGCCUAGAGUGAUGGGCUCCGAAGCUAACGCGAUAAAUCGACCGCUGGGGAGUACGGCCGCAAGGUUAAAACUCAAAUGAAUUGACGGGGGCCCGCACAAGCGGUGGAGCAUGUGGUUUAAUUCGAUGCAACGCGAAGAACCUUACCUGGUCUUGACAUCCAUAGAAUUCUGCAGAGAUGUGGGAGUGCCUUCGGGAACUAUGAGACAGGUGCUGCAUGGCUGUCGUCAGCUCGUGUUGUGAGAUGUUGGGUUAAGUCCCGCAACGAGCGCAACCCUUAUCCUUUGUUGCCAGCGAUUUGGUCGGGAACUCAAAGGAGACUGCCGUUGAUAAAGCGGAGGAAGGUGGGGACGACGUCAAGUCAUCAUGGCCCUUACGACCAGGGCUACACACGUGCUACAAUGGCGUAUACAAAGGGAAGCGAAGGUGCGAGCUGGAGCGGAUCUCAUAAAGUACGUCUAAGUUCGGAUUGGAGUCUGCAACUCGACUCCAUGAAGUCGGAAUCGCUAGUAAUCGUAGAUCAGAAUGCUACGGUGAAUACGUUCCCGGGCCUUGUACACACCGCCCGUCACACCAUGGGAGUGGGUUGCACCAGAAGUAGAUAACUUAACCGCGAGGGGGGCGUUUACCACGGUGUGAUUCAUGACUGGGGUGAAGUCGUAACAAGGUAACCA